AUCGGAAUCAAUUCGACUGUAAAUCACUGUUUCUCUUAUAUUAAUCAUCAUCAUCAUUCAUUCUAUAACAUUCUUCAAUCCCAUCUUAAUUAGAUGCAUCCUUCCACCUCCCUUUGUUUCUUCACAUAUAUAAAUCCUUUUUGUAUCAGUUCACUUCGAACCAUAGUCUACAUCCUCCUCCAUACGAAAACAUUGAUCGACAGCCAUGAUAUCCGCUCAUGCUUCCGGGAAGUCUCAAGUUGCCCUCAUCGGCUUCAUCUCAUCUAAUUGUGCCAAACGUGCUACACAUGGCAAAUAAUGCAUCAAUCGUUCAUCCCAUAGAUUGGACGCCGGGGUUUCUGUUUCACUUUCCUUCCAGUUCUUAAGUUUUGUUCUGUUAUUGCUAUCUCUCACCUUUUGACCCAACCAAGAAGAAGAAGAUGAAAGUUGUCAUUUUGGAUCCUAUCGAGGACUCAACAGAGUCACAAGCGGAGAAAACUGAUUCAUCCCCUCGAGUUUAUGUGCCGUGAAACUUUGGCUGUUUCUUUUCAAUGGUGUACAUACAUUUUUUUGUUUUUAUUUAUUUUCACUGCAGCUUUUGAUGGCCUUCAAAGUUCAUUUGUUGGACAGAACUCAGUGAGUGUUCUAACGUCUUGCCUCUUUUAAACUCUUUUUUUUUUGAAACUGGUGUUCUGAUGAUUAUGUAUCUCGCAUUGUUUUUUUUUUUCCAAUGGGUGGGUUUAAUCAACCUCACAUUUACAUGGUAUUUUUAAAUUCCUUUCUAUGCUAACUAACUGUUUUUACCGGCAUGCAUUUAAAUACCCAAAUCCGUAUUUUCCAAUGGUCUUAUAGAACAGUCGCCACGGUGAUCAGUGGCCUUAUUCUACUAUAGAUUCCAACGACAUCAUAUCUUCACAGCCAAAAAAUGGGGAGAUGAACAUGGCGACUGGAGGCCAUCCUAGAAACUGCAGCGAAUCAUACUUGACACUACAACGUGCUCCAGGUAAACACUAAAGCUUACUAUUGUGUAUUAUUUGUUGUUGUUGUUAUUCUCUCUUUCUUUCUGUGGCAGUUCACUAGAUGUUUCCAAAUGAAAUUUGGUCGGUCAUCAAGAAACUUCUCUAUUUACUUAACCAAGGGGAGUCAUUCACCAAGGUUGUUUUUAUGGUUACAUGCAUUCCAGUUUCAUUCAUCUGAAACCCUGAUGAACGUUUAUAUGUUCCAGUCUAAGACAAUGGUUUGGGAGAAUUCUCCACUUGAUUUUGAAGGAACUGUCUCCAAGAGCUGAGGUUCGUUGUCCGUAAUUUGCCUUAGUAGCGAAAUCCUAACACUUAUGUUAGGUAUAGAUUCCUCUGCCGAAUAAUAGACGAAACCCUUUUCACACCAACUGAGAGAUACUUGAAACAAGCUAUUGUCGAAAAGAAUCAUGGUGUUUCAAGCUAUCUGCUAUCAUGAUUUUUGCAUGCUUAUUGGUUGCAAAAUCAAUACUUCCCUUAAGAUGGCUGCCAUGAUGGAUGCUUUAGUUACUGCUUGACCUGAAUCAACUUGAAAAGAUUGAAGAUUACUUCUUGGAAGUAUUUUUAAAUAUGAAGCACAAUGCUGCCACUGCCACAUAUAAUACAAAGGCCGUUUACUAUGUUCUAAGACCCAAUUUAUGAUCUAAAAAUUCUUACGUUUCCAUGCGUUUUGUUUCUAUUUUUACUGCUAUUUUGUUUGUGCUUUUUUUUUGAAUUUGUAGAAGAAUAGAGUAGGCCAGAGCUGGAGUUCUUGAACAGCAAUAUGAUCUUUGCAAACUUAGCCAGGCUUCGGCUUAUGGAAGUAAAAUGAGAAUAUGUUUUCCAA